CAAUGUCUUCUUCACACCUUGAUAUUUGCCUUUGAGUUUCAAAUGGGGAAGUAAUUCUUCUCUUGCAAGUAUUAUGACCACUCUGCCUUGCUGUAAAGUGACAAGGAUGCGCUUACUUAACAAUGGAUACCAUCUUUAUUUCAAGUGAAAUGGCAAAGUUUCGCGAUAAGUUGAUGAUUGAUGCCACAGCUAGGAUUACAUUACAUAGCCUAGGCAUCAAAUGCGAUAUCAUAUUUAAUUUCUAACGUGUCUUUGUAAGCACUACUUUCCCUUUCAAGUAGGCAACAAGCCAGGUUUAUUUAGAUUAUAGAUGUACUAAAAUUUUGAAAUCAAA